GAACAGAGGAGAUAACGAGAUCAAGGCACGAGAUCAACACUAAAGGAGUUAAGAGACUCCCCUCCUGAAGCCUGGACUUAGUCACUUAACAGGUGAGGCAUUCUCUGACCCUAUGAUGGUAGGUUAUCUAAUAGAUCAUUAAACAGGGGAAACGUAUGGCUGUUUCUCUGGCUAAUGAUUAGCUUGGUGGCUUUGUUAACCAAGACAGAAUGAUGAAUGAUGCCUGAAUACCAUGGUUCAUAAUGAGCUUGGUUGUAAAAUAAAAAUUGUGGCAGCAAAAUGGAUUAGCAGUGGUUAGGCACAAUUAUGGGUGACAUACUUGCCUACACGGAGUCUUUAAUUUUAUGGCAUGAUGUUGGCAAAACGGCUUAGAGCUCCAGUGAAGUAAAUGAUUGAUCUUUCAAGCAUGCAUCUGGAGUUAACUGGAGUUAAAAGGAGCGUUUGUUGAGCAGAAACUCCAGCAUUGCCUCAUAAAGUCUUCCCUUCUUCUUUCACUCUCUCAUUCAGUCUCUCGUUCUAGUUUCGCAGCAGAGCAAGUCCUGUCAUGUCAGGUGUGUUAUCAUCGGAGUACGCAGUUAUCUGUCUCGGCCUCGUUUCCUGACUGAGGAUACAGGAAACAGAGCAGACAGGGAACGGAUGGUGCACCAGACCCCAGCCAGACAAGAAGACGAGACCAUUUCAAUGAUGACACCUUCCAUUUAAACCAUUGCCGUCAAAACACUGACUCCUCCACAUAG